UGGUACAGUUUAUUAAGAGGCUAUGUUUUUUCAGUUUCAAUUAAUAUACUGACAUGAAGUAUUCUGGAGUUGCUAGGAUCUUCAUACGAUAGUUCUCCUUGGAAGUUACAGGGCUAUUUUUACAGUUGACAAAUUUUAUAGGAUGGCAAUGAACUUGGAUUUCUAUGUGCAAUAUAGCUCCUAUUUUCUCUGAUGAUUGGUCCUUGAUGAAGGUGUUGUGCACAUCACCGUUGAAUCAAAGUACUGCAUUUGACACUAAUAGAAACUCAAUUACUUCAGGUUAGCUUCUACAUGGAUUAUAUUAUUUAUAUAUUUCACUUCCAAAAUUGUAUACCUCGCUGUGGAACGGAGAUCGCAACUUCUUAGUCUGUUUCCAUAUCCUUUUGCCGCGCUGUCUUCCCCUCCCAUCUCGAACAUAGAAACAAAUAAGUGAGAUGUGAUGGUGGAUACUAUUUGCUUAUUUAGAAACUAGGCUUGAACCAUGAAACUUCGCCAACUUGCAUAGUUCUCAUGUGUUAUUCAUGCUUAUGUCGGUCAAAUAAUGUAAAAUAUCUUGCGACGACCUUCAUCAAGAGCUAAAAGGGAAAUGCUACAAAAGCUAAAUAUGACAUUCGGUUUAAUUUUGAGUACUUGUUUAUUUUCUCAGUUUUUAGUCUAUCCAGAGUAAUAUUUUAAUUACUUACAUUAUUAGUUUUCAUGUUGCAAUCCAAAGUCUGGUUCUAUUUUUUGGUAGGUAAUUCAUGAAUAUUGCUCUACACAACCACAUAAUUUAUGACCGGGGUUUUGGUUAUGAUAACUUUGAUUUCAAGACUUGAUAGGCCUUCUUGAAUCUUGGUGGGAAUGUUGUCCAUAUUUGUAUCACAUUUUUAUGAUUCUAGACGUUUGAACAUUCUUUUUUGUGACUAGAUAUAAAAUCCUAAACCACUUGAUUUUUAGUGUAUCAAUAUCCUUAUCUCUGUAGUACUUUUACGAUCUUGCACUAUAUACAUUGAUCAAUGUUUUCUUACUAAAAUUAUAUGCAUGUAUAUUUUCUUGCCUCUUGGUUGCUGCCAUUGUUGCUUUAUGGCAUGUUAGAAAAUGUUCUUCAACAUUGUAAGUCUACAAAUAGAUGUGUAAUAUAAUAUAGUAAUAUUCAUACAUGGUAUCUUGCUCUACUUGCAUGUAUAUAAGAGUGAAGCACACAAGAAUGUGGACACUGAUUCAUAUGUCUUGGCCAAUGAGGGAUCGUGGAUAGAAAAAUACAAUUAUGUCCUGAGAAUUAACUCUUUACUGACGCCAUCAAGUUUCCUGCUCAUUCUGGCUGCCCCUUGAAUACAAGUGCAGCCAGACCAGGAUAUUUCUCAAGUAGUCAGGUACCAAACUUCAACUAUCUGUAGAUGACUGUUACAUUCAGUGUUUAAGCUACCCACAAGAACUACUGCACUUUCGAGUACAAAAUUAGCAGUUGGUGUAUUCCAUGUUCAGCGGCCCCUCUGCUGUAAUUAGUGACUAUUUAUAUGGUUGUAACAUAAUCAGUAUUUGUUUCCAUAUCA